CCAUGGUGGCCCCCUAGAGGGGCAUAUAAGACAGCCAUGGUUCUCCAUCCCUCAUCUGUAGGGAGGGGGAUAGAACCACCCCUGAUACUUUCAUGGGGAGAAUCAUUUGAGAAUGGAGCAUUUCCAUUCCCUGGAGUAUAGUGAGAGAGAUCUUCUUGCCAAACUGCCUGCCUGUAUACAUCUCAUGCCGGUCACAGGAUAAAGCCAAAAGCAUCUUUGCAGACACAGGGAGCAAUACGGCAUCACCACUGAUUCCUAUCCAUAGCUUGUUCCUCCAUUAAGGCCUGCCUCGUCACGUCCCUGCAUACAAUAUCCCACCAUCUAGUCAGGGGUCAGCUUCUAGGUUGGACUGACUGUGGUGGUGUUUGUAUUAUUUUCUUUGGCAUCUUAUGUGUUUGACUUCUGCAACGUCCCCACCAAUGUAAUCUUUUUCAAAUGGCAGCCAAUCUGAUAACCCAAUUUCACAUCCUCCUCUCCUUCUAAUUUCUUUAUUUGUCUUAAAAUCAUUGGACUUUACACCUGCCACCUUUGGAAGAACUCUCAUCUGUACUGCCUCCAGCCUUCAGAUGUCUACUUAAUUAAAUCAGCUGCUUCCAGACCAGAGAGUAAUACUGUUUGGAAGGAAACAUUAUGGAAAGUAGCAAAAUCAUAUAAAGUUUCAGAUAAGAUAAUUACAAUUAUAAAAGCUAUGUAUAAGGAUUCCUGCAGUGCCAUAAGAAUCAUUGGAAAAGCAAGCAACUGGUUCAAGUCAAAGUUUGGUGUAAGACAAGGGUGCAUGGAAUCACGAUCGCUUUUCAUCAUGUUCUUAAACUGGACAUUAAGAAUGGUAGACAAGUUGGAGACCAUGACAUUGGGUGAUCUUGAGUUAAGCUCCUUAGUUUAUGCAGAUGACAUCAUAAAACUGGCACAAAUUUGAAUUAAUGGUUAGACUCCGUGCUACCUAGGAAAAUUGAUGUAGUCCGCUUGGAUAUAUAAUAAAUGCCAACAAGACGACAUGCAUCUUGGAAAAGACACGAUACAUAAAGUGUUUUAAUGCAGCUGCAGUGAAGUCAUAGAACAGGUAAAAACUUAUGCGUACCUAUCACUGCUGACAGUUCCGUCAAGAUGAGAUUAAAAGUAGACAGCUGUGCCUUAGCCACAAAUGCUGCACAAAAAUUUACGAAAUUAUGGACCAAUAAAAGCAUUAUGUUUGGUAUCAAGUUGAAUUCCUUGCACAACCAAAAUUUUGAUGGUCUUCAAUAAACCAGUGUCCUACACAUCAAACGGUGUUCAUAUAGGUUAAAAUUUUCCAAACAUAAAUGCCUAAAGUUACACACACAAACUAAUAUUUAGCCUCCUAAAGAAAUAUUUAAAACAUGUUGAGCACCCCCAAUACUCUCUGAAACCAAAUGAAGCCAUGGAGUAUUCAGCAUUUCUAAAAAUGAGAACACUCAUUUAGAGGCAUAAAUAUGGAUUUAGAGUGAAUUUCAAUCCUGUGCAGAGGCCCAGCAGAAGACUUGUGCACCACUUAUGUCCAUUUAAGCCAUAGAACUUAAGUGGUGCAUAGACACCACAGCAUAGGGGUAAAUUUCAUCUUUAGUGCCUAAGCAUUAGGCACAUAAGCUUGAAAAGCUUAACAAAUCAAAGCCUAUAGCAGUCUAAGUGGCAAAUUCCCUGAUUCAGCAGCUAUAGUAAGAGGUCCAUUCUUUGGAAGAUACAUUUUAGAAGGGAUAAAAAGCCUGGAAAGAUUUAUAUAUAGCCUGAUAUAAGCUAGGUCUAAAAUUAUAAAUAAAAACCAUGUGACAAACAGGUUCCUUGGUAGUGCUGAUUAUUGCCACCAAUAAGUGUUGCAGUGGGUACUAAUGCUAAGAAGUCUAUUUCGAAUUGCUGAUGGGAUCAGGUUUUGGUUUGUUUGUUUGUAUUUUUUAAAAGCAAAAAUUGAUAAAAGAAUCCAUUGACUUCCGUGUAUGCACAUCGGAUCUAUACCCCAUGUACUGUACAGACAUUUAUUUUUACAAAGCUCUAAGAAGUUUUAGCCCAGAGUCUAAUUCACAACUGCUGACAAUGGAGGCAGGGACUGUAUUUAUGUUGGAAAUUAUACUUAUGCAUUUGCCAUUUAAUAAUAUUUAUAUUAUGAACAAACUUGUUCCCCCAACCUCAAAAAUGUACUUGAACAUUAACAUUUGUGACCUAAGUGUUUCACCUCCGAACAUUCAACAGAUGCAGUCUUUGCAGUCCACGUCUCCAGACAAUCAGGCAUAAAACCCAUUUCUCAGCAACGGUCAAAUAAAAAUGAAAUUAUAUAGUACCUGCAAUCUCUGUACGGGGAAGAUCACCUAAAUAUAAGAAAAUCAGAACUAAAUCCAUUUUUUUUAUUCUAAUAUCUAAAUCAGUGACUAACUUGGAAAUAUGCCCUAUUUCUUUUUUGUUGUUGUUAUUUGAGUUUUCUUUAAACAUCAUUCAUCGGUGUGCCACUUUGAUGACCUAGAUGUAAUACUACUCAGGAGAUCCAAGUUUUAUCCUCAGACCUGAUUGUCCCAAGUCAGUGAAGUACCAUUUACAAAUGAAA